AAAUAGAGGAGCUCAGAGCGCAUCUUGGCAAGCAGUCCCUGGCUGACAAGUCCCAGACCCUGUGAAGUUGAAGCCCGCAUCUUGCUACGAGAGAGGCGGCUGGUGGCUUGGGAGCCCAGGAGCUGUGGCCAAGCUGACUGGGUCCUGUUCUCCGUCAGCCCUCUCCCUUCCUCCUCCUCCCGGUGCCCUCUGCCCACCCCGGUUCACAGCAGUUUCAAAUUAAAGUGUCUGUCAUGUUCCGUGGU